rnacentral:piRNA from 1 species
UUUCAGGCCAGAACGGUGGUAUCCUGA